ensembl:rRNA 5S_rRNA 5S ribosomal RNA
GUUUACGGCCAUACCAGCCUGGCUACUCCCGAUCUCGUCUGAUCUCGGAAGCUAAGCGGGGUCGGGCGUGGUUAUUACUUGGAUGGGAGACUGCCUGGGAAUACCAGGUGCUGUAACCU